AAGCUUCAGUUAACAUGAGUAGGAAGAAUUGUCAACUCAUCCCAUGAGGUGAGGGAGGAAAUUUCAUUCAUUUAAUCAUUCAUUCAUCAAACAACGAUGUGCACUGUGCCUUCAGUUUUC